AACGAACGCUGGCGGCAGGCCUAACACAUGCAAGUCGAACGCCCUCUUUGAGGGAGUGGCAGACGGGUGAGUAACACGUGGGAACCUACCCAGUAGUACGGAACAACACAGAGAAAUUUGUGCUAAUACCGUAUACGCCCUACGGGGGAAAGAUUUAUCGCUAUUGGAUGGGCCCGCGCUGGAUUAGCUAGUUGGUGAGGUAAAAGCUCACCAAGGCGACGAUCCAUAGCUGGUCUGAGAGGAUGAUCAGCCACACUGGGACUGAGACACGGCCCAGACUCCUACGGGAGGCAGCAGUGGGGAAUAUUGGACAAUGGGCGCAAGCCUGAUCCAGCCAUGCCGCGUGAGUGAUGACGGCCCUAGGGUUGUAAAGCUCUUUCAACGGUGAAGAUAAUGACGGUAGCCGUAGAAGAAGCCCCGGCUAACUUCGUG
rnacentral:rRNA from 1 species